GCAGCCCGUGCCCUACUUUCCCACUCUGAUUGCCCCAAGUGACCUCAGAAAAGAGAUGGGAUUCCUCCUGUAUCAGCCUCACUGUAUGUUUUUUUUCAGGGAUUCCUCUUUAUUUCUUACUUGUCCUUGGCCUUCCUCCAGACCAGCAUAACUUUACAUCCUCAAAGCCAUCCCAUCCAGCCUGCCUCAAGAAGUCCCCAGACUAAGUGACUUCUUUGUGACACUGUGUGAAGAAAUCCUGUGAUGGCUAAUGUACGUGACUUUCUGGGGAGACAUUGCCACUGAGCCAGGUUAUUUUUAGGGAGGGGAGUUCCCAUCACCUGGCAGCCAGCAGUGCCUGGAACUCACUUAGUUCAGUUCCUACCUUAUCAGUCUUCAAAGAGUUGGAUAUUCACAUUUGCUAGCUGAGCAGCCUAAACUAUCUAGCAGAUAUCCUGUCAUAUUAGCUGAGGAUGGCAGGAAAGCCCCAUUUCCAAAGCCCCAUGACCUGAGAACUUUGAAGUCAUGCCAGCUUUGUUGCUGCUUGUCUAAGCAAUUCUGCAGGACCAUCACCGAGUUGGCUGAAAUUCAAGUCCACCCAAAGCGUUAAUCCUACCUGGCUCUAUAACAUAACAUAAUCACAGGAUGCGGACAUCUUUGGGGGGCCAUUAUUCUGCCUACCACAGUGCUCUGCCCACUUGUAAGGGGCUCCCCGAGUAAGCUGGAAGAACUGCGAUUCCUGACAUAUGUGCUACGCAGCCGUGAUGAAAAUGGAAAUGCCAGUUCUUGCAAAGCCAUGGCACUGCUCCCCAUUCCUGUGGAUCUACCUCAUCCUCAACUGCUCCCUACUACCUCCAGACCACCCUCCACACCCCCACAACCAGCCUGGACAAAUCAGAAGGGGCAAGUGUGACAUGCAGUACAGAAAACAUGGAAUCCCCACUGGCCUUGGGACCAACAUUUGGUACUAACAAUAGACUAUGUUGGCAAUAGAUGACUGGCCUCCAUCUCUCUGUCAAGAACUCCUCUGAAGAAGUUCAGACAUUCCACCGGGUGUCUUCUUGCAGGUGGGAACCCCAGGCCUCCAGUGGAAUUUUUGGAUCCUCCUCCUCUCCAGCUUCAGUGAGAACUUCUUGAUUCGGGAUCCCAGUUCUGGGGACUCCACCCGUCCAUCAGGAAUCAGAAAAGGUCCAAGCCCCAGCACCCCUAUAAGGAGUAAGGAGAGAAUGAAAUCCUUUUGUGCUUGACAUUUCUCAUUUCAUUUUUCAAGACUUAUUUUUAAGUAAUCUCUAUACCCAAUAUGGGGCUUGAAUGCACAACCCCAAGAUCGAGAGUCACAUGCCCUACCAGCUGAGUCAGCCAGGGGCCCUGAUAUUUGUCAUUUCACAUUAUUUCCUAUGUCAGUGGGGUCCAUUAUACUGAUUGACCAUAUUUUGCUUUGUCGCAUCUAUGCUUUAAGCUUUUGGGACAUUGCCAGUCUAUUGCUAUUAUAAAUAUCUCCGCAAUGAACAUCCUUAUUCAAAUGACUUCAGUUUCCUUUUGGGUUAUUUCCUUGGGACUAAUUUACAACCAAAAGAUAAUUAGAUUGAGGUAUUCAUCUGUUCCUUUUUUGUCUGAUGCACAUCCCUUUCCACUGGGAACAUCCCCUUCCACUUUAUGGUUCGGAUGUGCUUUCAAGCAAAUGUCCCCACCUGUCCUGUCCCAAGGGUAGGUGUGUGAGCCAAUUUGCUCAUGGUAGAUUGGUAACAACAAACCACAAGUCUCAUGGUUUAACACAGUUAAGAAUUUAUUUCUUGGGAGAUCCCUAGGUGGCUCAGCGG